GGGCCCGCACAAGCGGUGGAGCAUGUGGUUUAAUUCGAAGCAACGCGAAGAACCUUACCAGGUCUUGACAUCCCUCUGACCGUCCUAGAGAUAGGACUUUCCUUCGGGACAGAGGUGACAGGUGGUGCAUGGUUGUCGUCAGCUCGUGUCGUGAGAUGUUGGGUUAAGUCCCGCAACGAGCGCAACCCUUAUUGUUAGUUGCCAUCAUUUAGUUGGGCACUCUAGCAAGACUGCCGGUGACAAACCGGAGGAAGGUGGGG
rnacentral:rRNA from 1 species